UUAUUUUCAUCGCCCAGCCUUCACCUCUCUCAAAUUUCAAAACCCUAAACAAUCUCGUUUCCGAAGACAUCCAUCUCAGAAAAGAAACAUUAACCUCGCAGGGAAGAGAGAGAAGAAAAAUGAGUAGCCGUUCGAGCAGAACUCUCUAUGUUGGGAAUCUUCCUGGAGAUGUUCGCGAGAGGGAAGUGGAAGAUUUGUUUUACAAGUAUGGUUCCAUAGUACAUAUUGACCUGAAGAUUCCACCAAGACCUCCAGGUUAUGCUUUUGUUGAGUUUGAAGAGGCUCGAGAUGCUGAAGAUGCUAUUCGUGGUCGUGAUGGCUAUGAUUUUGGAGGACAGAGUUUGCGGGUUGAACUUGCACAUGGUGGUCGUGGGCGUUCAUCUUCAGAUCGUCACAGCAGUUAUGGAGGUGGGCGUGGGCGUGGGCGUGGACCUGCCAAACGUUCUGAAUAUCGUGUGUUAAUCACUGGAUUGCCAUCUUCAGCUUCAUGGCAGGAUCUUAAGGAUCACAUGCGUCGAGCCGGGGAUGUUUGUUUUUCCCAAGUUUUCCGUGAUGGUGGUGGGACAACGGGAAUUGUGGAUUACACCAAUUAUGAUGACAUGAAGUAUGCUAUCAAGAAACUUGACGACUCUGAAUUUCGGAAUGCCUUUUCUCGGGCUUAUGUUCGGGUUAAGGAAUAUGAUUCUAAGAGAGAUUCCUCUAGAAGUCCCAGUCGUGGUCGUUCUCUCUCAAGAAGCCAAAGCCAUAGUCGCAGUCGCUCUCGUGGUCGGAGCACUAGCCGCAGCAAAUCUCCUAGAACCAAACCUUCACGCAAGUCACCUGCAAAGUCAAGAUCAAGGUCUCGUUCCUCCCCUGCAUCAAGGUCUCGUUCUUUUUCAGGAUAUGGAUAUAUGCUGCAAACUGGGGAUUGGAUAUUGGGAUCUAGUGGUGAUAUGUUUCAAAUUGCAUGAAACUCGUAUGGUUGCAGAAGUAUGGUGUUUUUUAGAUGGGCAGCUUAAAAUCACUCCUGUCCCUUGUCUAAUAUACAUAGCAUCAUACAUGCCCAUGGGUGCUAGAUUUGUAACUAAGGAAUCAGCUGGAUUUAUUUUCAAGGAAUUGCAAUAGUAGAGCUGGAUUUCAGUGUAAAUGCACUGGGAUUUGCAAGUCAUCACUUUGAGCAGUAGAACAUUUCACUUUCAUUUUCAGCUCCAGAUAUUGCCAAGCUAAUAGGACAUGCUAUGUGGAUUGACUAUGGAAUUCGGUGGCACAGGAGCUUGCUCAUUCUAUAUCCACUGGUGUCGAAAUAUUGGAAUUUAAAUUUUGAGGAUUUUAUUUUGCGAGAUUAGGUUUUAUUCCUUGUGUGGGCAGGUUUCCGAGAUGGCCUUGUACUUAUUCUUUGUUUCCUUAUUUAACUGCCAUAGAUCUGUGCAUUCUCCUUUUUAUUCCUUUUGAAUGUGGUGAUUCUGACGUGGAAGGGGCAUCAAGGCUCUUGGACAUAAAAGUUGUUAAAAAAGGAACAUGUUGAUUUUUAAACUUGGGUUCUUUCUGGAACUUUUGCAGAUCUCGAUCAAGAUCAAGAUCUCCGUUGCCUUCUCGCGGAAAAGGAAGGAGCAAGAGUCCUAAAAGGCGCAGUGUUAGCGGGAGUCCUAAAAGACACAGUGUUAGCAAGAGUCCUAAAAGACGGAGUGUUAGCAAGAGUCC